rnacentral:lncRNA from 1 species
CCUACUCCUACCCGCCCAUUUCCACCUUAACACCCUGGCAUUCCACUAUACUGGGGAAACAAGCCUUCAUAGGACCAAGGGCUUCUUCUCCUAUUGAUGCCAGACAAUGCCAUCCUCUGCUACAUAUGCGGCUGGAGCCAUGGGUCCCUCCAUGUGUAUUUUAAUGCACUUUACAUCCCUCUCACUGCCCCCUCCUGCUCACCUCUUCCCUCAAUCCCUCCUCCUCUUCUACUCUGGGUGGGUGGCCCCCUUGGUUAUCCCCUGACCCUGGCACAUGAAGUCUCUGUGAGAUUAAGUGCCCCCUCUUCAACUGAGAUCAGACAAGGCAGCCCAGCUAGAAGGACACAUCCCAUGGAGAGGCAACGGCUUUUGGGACAGCUCCUACUACAGUUGUUUGGAACCCACAUGAAGACCAAGCUGCACAUCUGCUGCAUAUGUGCAGGGAAGUCUAGGUCCAGCCCAUGUAUGUUCUUUGAUUGGCAGUUCAGUCUCUGAGAGCCCCAGUGGUUCAGGUUAGUUGAGUCUGUUUUUCUUCCUAUGGAGUUCCUAUCCUGUUCUGGGGAUAGUCUUUUCUUAUAACUUUGUUUGUUUUGCAAGAGUGAACUGGAAAAUGCCAUUGCUCCUUCAAAGAAAUGAUAAGAGUAAUGAUUUUCAGAUCUUUAAGCAGAACUGAGGCAAAUAUAUACUUGAAAUUAAAA